rfam:Loxodonta africana unplaced genomic scaffold scaffold_8, whole genome shotgun sequence.
AGUGGUUAAGCGUUUGGCUGCUAACCAAAAGGUCAGCAGUUCAAAUCUACUAGCCUCUC